rnacentral:rRNA from 1 species
CUCGGCCGAUCCUCCCACCCUUUGUGUACCUACCUCUGUUGCUUUGGCGGGCCGCGGUCCUCCGCGGCCGGCCCCCCUCCCCGGGGGGUGGCCAGCGCCCGCCAGAGGACCAUCAAACUCCAGUCAGUAAACGAUGCAGUCUGAAAAACAUUUAAUAAACUAAAACUUUCAACAACGGAUCUCUUGGUUCUGGCAUCGAUGAAGAACGCAGCGAAAUGCGAUAAGUAAUGUGAAUUGCAGAAUUCAGUGAAUCAUCGAAUCUUUGAACGCACAUUGCGCCCUUUGGUAUUCCGAAGGGCAUGCCUGUUCGAGCGUCAUUACAACCCUCAAGCUCUGCUUGGUAUUGGGCACCGUCCUUUGCGGGCGCGCCUCAAAGACCUCGGCGGUGGCGUCUUGCCUCAAGCGUAGUAGAACAUACAUCUCGCUUCGGAGCGCAGGGCGUCGCCCGCCGGACGAACCUUCUGAACUUUUCUCAAGGUUGACCUCGGAUCAGGUAGGGAUACCCGCUGAACUUAAGCAUAUCAAUAAGGCAGGAGGA